AUUGAACGCUGGCGGCAGGCCUAACACAUGCAAGUCGAACGCGUGGCGGACGGGUGAGUCAUGUCUGGGAAACUGCCUGAUGGAGGGGGAUAACUACUGGAAACGGUAGCUAAUACCGCAUACCAUCGGAUGUGCCCAGAUGGGAUUAGCUAGUAGGUGGGGGAAUGGCUCACCUAGGCGACGAUCCCUAGCUGGUCUGAGAGGAUGACCAGCCACACUGUAACUGAGACACGGUCCAGACUCCUACGGGAGGCAGCAGUGGGGAAGAUUGCACAAUGGGCGCAAGCCUGAUGCAGCCAGGCCGCGUGUGUGAAGAAGGCCUUCGGGUUGUAAAGCACUUUCAGCGAGGAGGCGUUACUCGCAGAAGAAGCACCGGCUAACUCCGUGCCAGCAGCCGCGGUAAUAC
rnacentral:rRNA from 1 species